UGAGUACAGGCCUUCAUACGGUGAAACCGCGAAUGGCUCAUUAAAUCAGCUAUGGUUUAUUGGAUCAUACCCGUUAAAUGGAUAACUGUAAUAACUCUAGAGCUAAUACAUGCCUCGAUGCCCUGACUCUGUCCUCUUGUGGCUCUUGUAGCUGCAAUUGUGGGCAAGGGAGGGGUGCACUUAUUAGAUCAGAAGCCAACCGGCGUUGCGUGUGUAUUGCGUGCGCUGAAGCACUUCUGGUGACUCUGGAUAAUUGUUACAGAUCGCAGUCGGCCUUGGGUCGGCGACGGGUCCUUCAAAUGUCUGCCCUAUCAACCUUCGAUGGUAGGUGACCUGCCUACCAUAGUAAUAACGGGUAACGGGGAAUCAGGGUUCGAUUCCGGAGAGGGAGCCUGAGAAACGGCUACCACUUCCAAGGGAGGCAGCAGGCGCGCAAAUUACCC
rnacentral:rRNA from 1 species